CCUACGGGAGGCAGCAGUGAGGAAUAUUGGUCAAUGGGCGCGAGCCUGAACCAGCCAAGUAGCGUGAAGGAUGACUGCCCUACGGGUUGUAAGCUUCUUUUAUAAAGGAAUAAAGUGAGGCACGUGUGCCUUUUUGUAUGUACUUUAUGAAUAAGGAUCGGCCAACUCCGUGCCAGCAGCCGCGGUAAUACGGAGGAUCCGAGCGUUAUCCGGAUUUAUUGGGGGUAAAGGGAGCGUAGAUGGGUUGUUAAGUCAGUUGUGAAAUUUUGCGGCUCAACCGUAAAAGUGCAAUUGAUACUGGAAGUCUUGAGUACAGUUGAGGUAGGCGGAAUUCGUAGUGUAGCGGUGAAAUGCGUAGAUAUCACGAAGAACACCGAUUGCGAAGGCAGCUUACUAAACUGCAACUGACAUUGAUGCUCGAAAGUGUGGGUAUCAAACAGGAUUAGAUACCCGGGUAGCC
rnacentral:rRNA from 1 species